rnacentral:rRNA from 1 species
AACGUAGGACACAAGCGUUAUCCGGAAUUACUGGGCGUAAAGAGCUCGUAGGUGGUUUGUCGCGUUGUUCGUGAAAACUCACAGCUUAACUGUGGGCGUGCGGGCGAUACGGGCAGACUGGAGUACUGCAGGGGAGACUGGAAUUCCUGGUGUAGCGGUGGAAUGCGCAGAUAUCUGGAGGAACACCGGUGGCGAAGGCGGCAUCCUGGACCAAUACUGACGCUGAAUAGCGAAAGCCAGGGGAGCAAACGGG